UACGUAGGGGGCUAGCGUUGUCCGGAAUCAUUGGGCGUAAAGAGCGCGUAGGCGGCUAGAUAAGUCCGGUGUGAAAGUCACAGGCUCAACCUGUGAAUGCCGCUGGAAACUGUCUGGCUAGAGUCCGGAAGGGGCGAGUGGAAUUCCUGGUGUAGCGGUGAAAUGCGUAGAUAUCAGGAGGAAUACCGAUGGCGAAGGCAGGUCUCUGGGCUGACACUGACGCUCAUGCACGAAAGCGUGGGGAGCAAACAGG
rnacentral:rRNA from 1 species